ACGAACGCUGGCGGCAUGCCUAACACAUGCAAGUCGAACGAGACCGUUCGGGUCGUAGUAGGCGCACGGGUGCGUAACGCGUGGGAAUCUGCCCUUGGGUUCGGAAUAACUCGCCGAAAGGCGUGCUAAUACCGGAUGAUGUCGUAAGACCAAAGAUUUAUCGCCCAGGGAUGAGCCCGCGUAAGAUUAGGUAGUUGGUGAGGUAAAGGCUCACCAAGCCGACGAUCUUUAGCUGGUCUGAGAGGAUGAUCAGCCACACUGGGACUGAGACACGGCCCAG
rnacentral:rRNA from 1 species